UAAAUAGUCCCUCCGUCUCAUAUUAAGUGAUUUUGUAUUACAUGUAUCUAGACGUUUUUUAAGUAUAGAUACAUUCAUAUUUGGACAAAUUUGAAUCACUUAAUAUGGGACGGAGGGAGUAGUUU
rfam:Brachypodium distachyon strain Bd21 chromosome 1, whole genome shotgun sequence.